rnacentral:rRNA from 1 species
CGCCGCGUGAGGGACGACGGCCUUUCGGGUUGUAAACCUCUUUUGGCAGGGAAGAAGCGAAAGUGACGGUACCUGCAGAAAAAGCACCGGCUAACUACGUGCCAGCAGCCGCGGUAAUACGUAGGGUGCAAGCGUUGUCCGGAAUUAUUGGGCGUAAAGAGCUCGUAGGCGGUUUGUCGCGUCUGCUGUGAAAACGCGAGGCUCAACCUCGCGCCUGCAGUGGGUACGGGCAGACUAGAGUGUGGUAGGGGAGAUUGGAAAUCCUGGUGUAGCGGUGGAAUGCGCAGAUAUCAGGAGGAACACCGAUGGCGAAGGCAGAUCUCUGGGCCAUUACUGACGCUGAGGAGCGAAAGCGUGGGGAGCGAACAGGAUUAGAUACCCUGGUAGUCCACGCCGUAAACGUUGGGAACUAGAUGUGGGGUCCAUUCCACGGAUUCCGUGUCGCAGCUAACGCAUUAAGUUCCCCGCCUGGGGAGUACGGCCGCAAGGCUAAAACUCAAAGGAAUUGACGGGGGCCCGCACAAGCGGCGGAGCAUGCGGAUUAAUUCGAUGCAACGCGAAGAACCUUACCAAGGCUUGACAUGCACCUGAAAAGGCUGGAAACAGUCUCCUC